rnacentral:rRNA from 1 species
AGAGUUUGAUCCUGGCUCAGGAUGAACGCUGGCGGCGUGCUUAAUACAUGCAAGUCGAACGAAGCAGCAAUGCUUAGUGGCGAUCGGGUGCGUAACACGUAGCGGACCUACCCUUCAGCGGGGAAUAACAGUUCGAAAGGACUGCUAAUACCGCAUACAUUUGAGAGAAUUAGAACAUCUCAAAGAAACUUACGGGGUUG